CGCCGGUAAGGUGAUAUGAACCGUUAUAACCGGCGAUUUCCGAAUGGGGAAACCCAGUGUGAUUCGUCACACUAUCAUUAACUGAAUCCAUAGGUUAAUGAGGCGAACCGGGGGAACUGAAACAUCUAAGUACCCCGAGGAAAAGAAAUCAACCGAGAUUCCCCCAGUAGCGGCGAGCGAACGGGGAGGAGCCCAGAGCCUGAAUCAGCAUGUGUGUUAGUGGAAGCGUCUGGAAAGGCGCGCGAUACAGGGUGACAGCCCCGUACACAAAAGCGCAUGUGCUGUGAGCUCGAUGAGUAGGGCGGGACACGUGGUAUCCUGUCUGAAUAUGGGGGGACCAUCCUCCAAGGCUAAAUACUCCUGACUGACCGAUAGUGAACCAGUACCGUGAGGGAAAGGCGAAAAGAACCCCGGCGAGGGGAGUGAAAAAGAACCUGAAACCGUGUACGUACAAGCAGUGGGAGCACCCUUCGGGGUGUGACUGCGUACCUUUUGUAUAAUGGGUCAGCGAC
rnacentral:rRNA from 1 species